rnacentral:rRNA from 1 species
UACAGAGGGUGCGAGAGUUAAUCGGAAUUACUGGGCGUAAAGCGCACGUCGGCGGCUUGGUAUGUCGGGUGUGAAAUCCCCGGGCUCAACCUGGGAACUGCAUCCGAAACUGCCUUGCUAGAGUAUGGGAGAGGGAAGCGGAAUUUCCGGUGUAGCGGUGAAAUGCGUAGAUAUCGGAAGGAACAUCAGUGGCGAAGGCGGCUUCCUGGACCAAUACUGACGCUCAGGUGCGAAAGCGUGGGGAGCAAACAGG